UUACGUGUCUUCUUCUGGUAAAAUGGAUAUGCAUGUCUUCCUCCUCCUAUGUCUUCCUCCCGAUUCUUCAUUUAUAAUGAUUCCCUAUUUGCACAUGGAAGUUACUCUCUUCAUCCUUCUCCAGGGUUUUUGUGAGUCGAUAUUUCUAUCGAGUAUCGGCAGGACAAUUGGCACAAGCCUACAGUCGUUCUACAGGAGGUUAAAACUUUGAGAGAGAUGGCAGAGAUAUCUUUUUGCACAUCUCGAAUUUUAUCUUAACAUCAUGCAAAAUUUUUCUGUACUAAUAAUAUAUUUUCAACUAUGUUUCUUCCUUCCAUAAAACCUGCUUGCUGGAGAGAUGAUUGUUGGCAGUAGGUAUACCAGUCUUUUAUUACAUUGUUGCUAUGGGGGAGAGCUAACUCACAUGGCUUUGGUCAUAAAGUUCAAUAAAUUAAAAAACGCAAUAUGUUCAAUAGUAGGUGUGUUCUGCAUCACACUGAUGUGAUCAAGUUUCUAGGUGUGUUCUACAGUUAUUGCAUUAUGGAGUGCCUCAUUUUUGUUGAUGAUGCAUCGGGAAUAGCUGAUCGUACAACGAUAAAAGAAUAUUUCUUCCAUAUCCAUAAUUAAUGGAUAUUUCAAGUAGAAGAGCUCACCUAUUGUUUCACAUUUGAAUUUCUCUUACA